rfam:Solanum tuberosum cultivar DM 1-3 516 R44 scf00042_54, whole genome shotgun sequence.
UUAAAGAAUUUAAAGACCUCAACUUGCAGACUUGGAGGACUUUGAAGAUGCAGACUUGAAGAUUUCAACUUGCAAACUUGAAGAAUUUGAAGACUUCAACU